AUUGAACGCUGGCGGCAGGCCUAACACAUGCAAGUCGAGCGGAUGAAGGGAGCUGGCUCCUGGAUUCAGCGGCGGACGGGUGAGUAAUGCCUAUGAAUCUGCCUGGUAGUGGGGGAUAACGUCCGGAAACGGGCGCUAAUACCGCAUACGUCCUGAGGGAGAAAGUGGGGGAUCUUCGGACCUCACGCUAUCAGAUGAGCCUAGGUCGGAUUAGCUAGUUGGUGGGGUAAAGGCCUACCAAGGCGACGAUCCGUAACUGGUCUGAGAGGAUGAACAGUCACACUGGAACUGAGACCAGGUCCAGACUCCUACGGGAGGCAGCAGUUGGGAAUAUUGGACCAUGGGCGAAAGCCUGAUCCAGCCAUGGCGCGUGGUAGAAGAAGGUCUUCGGAUUGUAAAACUCUUUAAGGUGGGAGGAAGGGCAGUAAGUUAAAACCUUGCUGUUUUGACGUUACCAACAGAAUAAGCACCGGCUAACUUCGUG
rnacentral:rRNA from 1 species